GACGAACGCUGGCGGCGUGCUUAACACAUGCAAGUCGAACGGAAAGGCCCUGCUUUUGUGGGGUGCUCGAGUGGCGAACGGGUGAGUAACACGUGAGUAACCUGCCCUUGACUUUGGGAUAACUUCAGGAAACUGGGGCUAAUACCGGAUAGGAGCUCCUGCUGCAUGGUGGGGGUUGGAAAGUUUCGGCGGUUGGGGAUGGACUCGCGGCUUAUCAGCUUGUUGGUGGGGUAGUGGCUUACCAAGGCUUUGACGGGUAGCUGGCAUGGGAGGGUGACCGGCCACAUUGGGACUGAGAUACGGCCCAGACUCCUACGGGAGGCAGCAGUGGGGAAUAUUGCACAAUGGGCGGAAGCCUGAUGCAGCAACGCCGCGUGCGGGAUGACGGCCUUCGGGUUGUAAACCGCUUUCGCCUGUGACGAAGCGUGAGUGACGGUAAUGGGUAAAGAAGCACCGGCUAACUACGUG
rnacentral:rRNA from 1 species